UACGUAGGGUGCGAGCGUUAAUCGGAAUUACUGGGCGUAAAGGGUGCGUAGGCGGGUCUUUUAAGUCAGGGGUGAAAUCCUGGAGCUCAACUCCAGAACUGCCUUUGAUACUGAAGAUCUUGAGUCCGGGAGAGGUGAGUGGAACUGCGAGUGUAGAGGUGAAAUUCGUAGAUAUUCGCAAGAACACCAGUGGCGAAGGCGGCUCACUGGCCCGGUACUGACGCUGAGGUGCGAAAGCGUGGGGAGCAAACAGG
rnacentral:rRNA from 1 species